rnacentral:rRNA from 1 species
GAUGAACGCUAGCGACAGGCUUAACACAUGCAAGUCGAGGGGCAGCGAGGGCGUAGCAAUACGCCUGUCGGCGACCGGCGCACUGGUGAGUAACACGUAUGCGACCUGCCCCCUACAGGGGUAUAACCCGUAGAAAUGCGGACUAAUCCCCCAUAGUCCUGGAGGCUGCAUGGCUUUCAGGGGAAAGGCCAGCCGGUAGGGGAUGGGCAUGCGGCGCAUUAGCUAGUUGGCGGGGCAACGGCCCACCAAGGCGACGAUGCGUAGGGGUUCUGAGAGGAAGGUCCCCCCACAUUGGAACUGAGACACGGUCCAAACUCCUACGGGAGGCAGCAGUGAGGAAUAUUGGUCAAUGGGCGAAGCCUGAACCAGCCAAGUAGCGUGCAGGACGACGGCCCUAUGGGUUGUAAACUGCUUUUAUGCGGGAUAAGUGGGCCACGCGUGGCCUUUGCAGGUACCGCAUGAAUAAGGACCGGCUAAUUCCGUG